ACUCUGCGACCAUUCUGCGGUCCGCAGAGUGGUUCUGCGGCCGCAGAACGGGCCACAGUAAUGCCUACUUUUGCCCAACAUUUUCCUUCAACUAUCCAGGCACUGUUCAAUCCAAAAAGUCCGAAGCUCCCUUCGCAAAAGUCUAAGGAUGACUAUGCGACCAAAGUGCGGCCAGCGAAACGGUUAUGCGGUCGCAUAAUUGGACGUGAAAUCGACAUCAAAAAUGCCCCAGAAAACUGCCUUACUCUGCGACUAUUCCGCGGUCUGCAUAGUGGUUCUGCGGCCGCAGAACGGGCCGUAGAAAUGCCUACUUCUGCUCAAUAUUUUCCUUCAACUGCCCAGGCAUUGUUCAAUCUAAAAAAUCCGAACCUCCCUUCAACAAAGUGUAAGAAUGACUAUACGACCAAAGCGUGGCCCUCUAAAUGGUUAUGCAGUCGCAUAAUAUGCCGCGAAAUCGACAUAAAAAAUACCCAGAAAACAGCCUCACUCUACGACCAUUAUGCGGUCCGCAUAGUGGUUAUGCGGCCGCAGAACGGGCCUCAGAAAUGCCUACUUCUGCCAAAAUUUUUCCUUCAACUCCACAGGCACUAUUCAAUCACAAAAGUCUGAACCUCCCUUUGCAAAAUCAAAAGAUACCAAUGUGACCAAAGUGCAGCCCGCGAAACGGUUAUGCAGUCGCAUAAUUGGCCGCGAUAUCAACAUCAAAAAUGCCCCAAAAAACUGCCUCACUCUGCGACCAUUAUGCAAUGCGCAUAGAAGUUCUGCGGCCGCAGAAUGGGCCAUAGAAAUGCCUACUUCUUCCCAACAUUUUCCUUCAACUCCCUAGCCACUGUUCAAUCCGAAGAGUAAUUACCUCCCUUCGCAAAAGUGUAAGGAUGACGAUGCGACCAAAG
rnacentral:lncRNA from 1 species